rnacentral:rRNA from 1 species
GACGAACGCUGGCGGCGUGCUUAACACAUGCAAGUCGAACGGAAAGGCCCUGCUUUUGUGGGGUGCUCGAGUGGCGAACGGGUGAGUAACACGUGAGUAACCUGCCCUUGACUUUGGGAUAACUUCAGGAAACUGGGGCUAAUACCGGAUAGGAGCUCCUGCUGCAUGGUGGGGGUUGGAAAGUUUCGGCGGUUGGGGAUGGACUCGCGGCUUAUCAGCUUGUUGGUGGGGUAGUGGCUUACCAAGGCUUUGACGGGUAGCCGGCCUGAGAGGGUGACCGGCCACAGUGGGACUGAGAUACGGCCCAGACUCCUACGGGAGGCAGCAGUGGGGAAUAUUGCACAAUGGGCGGAAGCCUGAUGCAGCAACGCCGCGUGCGGGAUGACGGCCCUCGGGUUGUAAACCGCUUUCGCCUGUGACGAAGCGUGAGUGACGGUAAUGGGUAAAGAAGCACCGGCUAACUACGUG